UGCCAGCCGCCGCGGUAAUACGGAGGGUGCAAGCGUUAAUCGGAAUUACUGGGCGUAAAGCGCGCGUAGGCGGUUAUUUAAGUCAGUGGUGAAAUCUCUCGGCUCAACCGAGAAACUGCCAUUGAUACUGAUAGGCUUGAAUAUAGUUGGAGUAGGCGGAAUGUGUAGUGUAGCGGUGAAAUGCUUAGAUAUUACACAGAACACCGAUAGCGAAGGCAGCUUACUAAACUAUUAUUGACGCUCAUGAACGAAAGCGUGGGUAGCGAACGGGAUUAGAUA
rnacentral:rRNA from 1 species